rnacentral:rRNA from 1 species
UUGGUUAAGUUAGAAAGGGCGCACGGUGGAUGCCUUGGCACUAGGAGCCGAAGAAGGACGGGACUAACACCGAUAUGCUUUGGGGAGCUGUACGUAAGCGUUGAUCCAGAGAUUUCCGAAUGGGGGAACCCACUAUCUUUAGUCGGAUAGUAUCCUUACGUGAAUACAUAGCGUGAGGAAGGCAGACCCAGGGAACUGAAACAUCUAAGUACCUGGAGGAAGAGAAAGAAAAAUCGAUUUCCUGAGUAGCGGCGAGCGAAACGGAAAGAGCCCAAACCAAGAAGCUUGCUUCUUGGGGUUGUAGGACACUCUAUACGGAGUUACAAAAGAAAGUUAUAAAUGAAGCGGUCUGGAAAGGCCCGCCAAAGACGGUAACAGCCCGGUAGUUGAAAUGGCUUUCCCUCCAGAGUGGAUCCUGAGUACGGCGGAACACGUGAAAUUCCGUCGGAAUCCGGGAGGACCAUCUCCCAAGGCUAAAUACUCCCUAGUGACCGAUAGUGAACCAGUACCGUGAGGGAAAGGUGAAAAGCACCCCGGAAGGGGAGUGAAACAGUUCCUGAAACCGUGUGCCUACAAGUAGUUAGAGCCCGUUAAUGGGUGAUAGCGUGCCUUUUGUAGAAUGAACCGGCGAGUUACGAUUUGUUGCAAGGUUAAGCGGAAAAAGCGGAGCCGUAGCGAAAGCGAGUCUGAAUAGGGCGCAUAAGUAACAGGUCGUAGACCCGAAACCAGGUGAUCUACCCAUGUCCAGGAUGAAGGUAAGGUAAUACUUACUGGAGGUCCGAACCCACGCACGUUGAAAAGUGCGGGGAUGAGGUGUGGGUAGCGGAGAAAUUCCAAUCGAACUUGGAGAUAGCUGGUUCUCUCCGAAAUAGCUUUAGGGCUAGCCUCGAGGUAAAGAGUCAUGGAGGUAGAGCACUGUUUGGACUAGGGGCCCUUCUCGGGUUACCGAAUUCAGAUAAACUCCGAAUGCCAUGUACUUAUACUCGGGAGUCAGACUGCGAGUGAUAAGAUCCGUAGUCGAAAGGGAAACAGCCCAGACCACCAGUUAAGGUCCCCAAAUAUAUGUUAAGUGGAAAAGGAUGUGGGGUUGCUUAGACAACCAGGAUGUUGGCUUAGAAGCAGCCACCAUUGAAAGAGUGCGUAAUAGCUCACUGGUCGAGUGACCCCGCGCCGAAAAUGUACCGGGGCUAAACAUAUUACCGAAACUGUGGAUGAACCUCUUUAGAGGUUCGUGGUAGGAGAGCGUUCUAAGGGCGGUGAAGUCAGACCGGAAGGACUGGUGGAGCGCUUAGAAGUGAGAAUGCCGGUAUGAGUAGCGAAAGAAGGGUGAGAAUCCCUUCCACCGAAUAUCUAAGGUUUCCUGAGGAAGGCUCGUCCGCUCAGGGUUAGUCGGGACCUAAGCCGAGGCCGAUAGGCGUAGGCGAUGGACAACAGGUAGAGAUUCCUGUACCAGUGCUAAUUGUUUAACCGAUGGGGUGACACAGAAGGAUAGGGAAUCGCACGAAUGGAAAUGUGCGUCCAAGCAGUGAGUGUGAGAAGUAGGCAAAUCCGCUUCUCGCGAAGCAUGAGCUGUGAUGGGGAAGGAAAUUAAGUACGGAAGUUCCUGAUUUCACGCUGUCAAGAAAAGCCUCUAGGAAGAGUAGUACUGCCCGUACCGCAAACCGACACAGGUAGAUGAGGAGAGAAUCCUAAGGUGAGCGAGAGAACUCUCGUUAAGGAACUCGGCAAAAUGACCCCGUAACUUCGGGAGAAGGGGUGCUCUAUUAGGGUGCAAGCCCGAGAGAGCCGCAGUGAAUAGGCCCAGGCGACUGUUUAGCAAAAACACAGGUCUCUGCAAAACCGUAAGGUGACGUAUAGGGGCUGACGCCUGCCCGGUGCUGGAAGGUUAAGAGGAGUGCUUAGCUUCGGCGAAGGUACGAAUUGAAGCCCCAGUAAACGGCGGCCGUAACUAUAACGGUCCUAAGGUAGCGAAAUUCCUUGUCGGGUAAGUUCCGACCCGCACGAAAGGCGCAACGAUCUGGGCACUGUCUCAACGAGAGACUCGGUGAAAUUAUAGUACCUGUGAAGAUGCAGGUUACCCGCGACAGGACGGAAAGACCCCGUGGAGCUUUACUGCAACCUGAUAUGGAAUGUUUGUACCGCUUGUACAGGAUAGGUAGGAGCCGAAGAGACGUGUGCG